rnacentral:rRNA from 1 species
UACGUAGGGUGCAAGCGUUGUCCGGAAUUAUUGGGCGUAAAGAGCUCGUAGGCGGUUUGUCGCGUCUGCUGUGAAAAUCCAGGGCUUAACCCUGGACCUGCAGUGGGUACGGGCAGACUAGAGUGCGGUAGGGGAGAUCGGAAUUCCUGGUGGUAGCGGUGAAAUGCGCAGAAUAAGUCAGGAGGAACACCGGUGGCGAAGGCGGAUCUCUGGGCCGUAACUGACGCUGAGGAGCGAAAGCAUGGGGAGCGAACAGG